AACGAACGCUGGCGGCGUGCCUAACACAUGCAAGUCGAGCGAGAAAGUCCCUUCGGGGGCGAGUAAAGCGGCGGACGGGUGAGUAAUACAUGGAUAAUCUUCCCUCGAGCCUGGGAUAACCCUGCGAAAGUGGGCUAAUACCGGAUAAGACCACAUGACACAUGUCACGGGGUAGAAGGUGGCUUGUAUUUAUAUGAGCUAUCACUUGAGGAUGAGUCCAUGGCCUAUCAGCUAGUUGGUGAGGUAAGAGCUUACCAAGGCUAUGACGGGUAGCUGGUCUGAGAGGACGACUAGCCACACUGGGACUGAGACACGGCCCAGACUCCUACGGGAGGCAGCAGUGGGGAAUAUUGGGCAAUGGGCGAAAGCCUGACCCACGCGACGCCGCCGUGGGUGGAGUGAAGGACGUCGGUGUAACCGUUACGUUACGUACGUAACGAAGUAAGACGUAGUAGUACGUAGAACGUAAGAACGGUAACGUUAGGUAACGGUUACGGUACGGAAGGAACGAAGGAACGACCGGACGUAACCGCCGUACCG
rnacentral:rRNA from 1 species